AGCGCAGGCGGGAAGACGAGUUGGAAGUGAAAUCUAUGGGCUCAACCCAUAAACUGCUUUCAAAACUGUUUUUCUUGAGUAGUGCAGAGGUAGGCGGAAUUCCCGGUGUAGCGGUGGAAUGCGUAGAUAUCGGGAGGAACACCAGUGGCGAAGGCGGCCUACUGGGCACCAACUGACGCUGAGGCUCGAAAGUGUGGGUAGCAAACA
rnacentral:rRNA from 1 species